ensembl:misc_RNA Y_RNA Y RNA
GGCUGAGCCCAGUGCAGUAGUGUUUAUAACCAGUUACAGAUUUCUUUGUUUCUUCUCUACUCCCACUGUUUCACUUGACUAGCCUUUA